rnacentral:rRNA from 1 species
AUUGAACGCUGGCGGCAGGCUUAACACAUGCAAGUCGAGCGGAGAUGAGGUGCUUGCACCUUAUCUUAGCGGCGGACGGGUGAGUAAUGCUUAGGAAUCUGCCUAUUAGUGGGGGACAACAUUCCGAAAGGAAUGCUAAUACCGCAUACGCCCUACGGGGGAAAGCAGGGGACCUUCGGACCUUGCGCUAAUAGAUGAGCCUAAGUCGGAUUAGCUAGUUGGUGGGGUAAAGGCCUACCAAGGCGACGAUCUGUAGCGGGUCUGAGAGGAGGAUCCGCCACACUGGGACUGAGACACGGCCCAGACUCCUACGGGAGGCAGCAGUGGGGAAUAUUGGACAAUGGGCGGAAGCCUGAUCCAGCCAUGCCGCGUGUGUGAAGAAGGCCUUUUGGUUGUAAAGCACUUUAAGCGAGGAGGAGGCUACCUGGAUUAAUACUCUAGGAUAGUGGACGUUACUCGCAGAAUAAGCACCGGCUAACUCUGUGCCAGCCGCCGCGGUAAAAC